GAAAUGCGAUAACUAGUGUGAAUUGCAGAAUUCCGUGAAUCAUCGAGUCUUUGAACGCACAUUGCGCCCCCUGGUAUUCCGGGGGGCAUGCCUGUCCGAGCGUCAUUGCUGCCCAUCAAGCACGGCUUGUGUGUUGGGUCGUCGUCCCCUCUCCGGGGGGGACGGGCCCCAAAGGCAGCGGCGGCACCGCGUCCGAUCCUCGAGCGUAUGGGGCUUUGUCACCCGCUCUGUAGGCCCGGCCGGCGCUUGCCGAACGCAAAUCGAUCUUUUUCCAGGUUGACCUCGGAUCAGGUAGGGAUACCCGCUGAACUUAAGC
rnacentral:misc_RNA from 1 species